rnacentral:pre_miRNA from 1 species
AAAAUACUCCCUCUGUCCGGAAAUACUUGUCAUCAAAAUGAAUAAAAGGAGAUGUAUCUAGAUGUAUUUUAGUUCUAGAUACAUCCCUUUUUAUCCAUUUUGAUGACAAGUAUUUUCGGACGGAGGGAGUAACAU